rnacentral:rRNA from 1 species
AUGGACAACGAUGGAUUAUUCCCCAUACACGUGGCUGCACUCCUCGAUUCAACACUUGCCAUCAAUGAUUUUCUUAAGGAGUCCCCUAGUUGUGUUGGUUUGCGUGAUGCUAGGGGAAAGACAUUUCUUCAUCUUGCAGUUGACAAAAUGAAAAUGCGCACAGUCCAUUUUGCUUGCAACUACCGAUCAUUAUCAUGGAUUUUGAAUAUGCAAGAUAAUGAUGGGAACACUGCACUGCACCUAGCUGUCCAGAUAAGAAGUCUGAAGAUGUUUUGUGCUCUGCUGGGGAAUAUACAAGUAAACUUAAAUUUAACAAAUAAGAAAGGAGAGACUCCAUUUGAUAUAGCACGUUUCAAGCUUAUUACCACCAAAGGUUUAUAUAGCAACAAGAAGAGCGAAGCAAAAAUACUCCUAGCACUAAGACUCGUUGAUGCUAAAUCGGGUAUUUGUCGUGGGGAUUACUUUGAAGAGAAAAAGGAAAUUGUCGAAGCAAGACAGAAUGGAACACGUAAAUUGGAGAAUGUGAAAGAGGGGACACAAAGCUUAUGUAUUGGCGCCGUACUAAUUGCAACCGUGACGUUUGGUGCAAGUUUCGCCAUGCCGGGAGGUUAUAGAUCUGAUGAUCACACUGGCGGAGGCACACCAACACUUGCUGGAAGGUUUGAUUUUGAUGCAUUCAUGCUAGCCAAUUCUUUAGCCUUCACCUUCUCCAUGAUAGCGACAAUUGCUCUUAUGUCUUCCGGAUCUCCCAUGCAUAAUCCUCGGAGCCGGGAACUGCACUUCGGCAUGGCCUUCUUUUUCCUGACGAUUUCGAUUACAGGCUUGGUAGCGGCCUUUGCACUUGAAACACCAUAUUUUGACAAUACCAGAGAAACACACUCGCACAAUGGCAUCGCUCUUUCUUUGCCCAUAAUCGGUGCCGAGUGUUCUGUUACCGGUUAUGAUUAUGCCGUGUAUAGGAAACAGUACUGGCAGGUUGCCCAGCCUGUAGUCCAUGACUACCGGAUGGCAGUCUCAUCAGAGCUGCUUAGCCUUCAAACUUCCAAAUGGAAGGGAGAAGGGAGACCCCUGAAAACUGAAACCGGCCUGCCAAUGGGUUUCGGGUUGAUAUCUUCAGAAUACAUCAUAUAA